rnacentral:rRNA from 1 species
GGGUUGUGAGGUUAAGCGACUAAGCGUACACGGUGGAUGCCCUGGCAGUCAGAGGCGAUGAAGGGCGUGCUAAUCUGCGAUAAGCGCCGGUAAGGUGAUAUGAACCGUUAUAACCGGCGAUACCCGAAUGGGGAAACCCAGUGUGACUCGUCACACUAUCAUUAACUGAAUCCAUAGGUUAAUGAGGCGAACCGGGGGAACUGAAACAUCUAAGUACCCCGAGGAAAAGAAAUCAACCGAGAUUCCCCCAGUAGCGGCGAGCGAACGGGGAGGAGCCCAGAGCCUGAAUCAGCAUGUGUGUUAGUGGAAGCGUCUGGAAAGGCGCGCGAUACAGGGUGACAGCCCCGUACACAAAAGCGCAUGUGCUGUGAGCUCGAUGAGUAGGGCGGGACACGUGGUAUCCUGUCUGAAUAUGGGGGGACCAUCCUCCAAGGCUAAAUACUCCUGACUGACCGAUAGUGAACCAGUACCGUGAGGGAAAGGCGAAAAGAACCCCGGCGAGGGGAGUGAAAAAGAACCUGAAACCGUGUACGUACAAGCAGUGGGAGCACCCUUUGGGUGUGACUGCGUACCUUUUGUAUAAUGGGUCAGCGACUUAUAUUCUGUAGCAAGGUUAACCGAAUAGGGGAGCCGGAGGGAAACCGAGUCUUAACCGGGCGUUAAGUUGCAGGGUAUAGACCCGAAACCCGGUGAUCUAGCCAUGGGCAGGUUGAAGGUUGGGUAACACUAACUGGAGGACCGAACCGACUAAUGUUGAAAAAUUAGCGGAUGACCUGUGGCUGGGGGUGAAAGGCCAAUCAAACCGGGAGAUAGCUGGUUCUCCCCGAAAGCUAUUUAGGUAGCGCCUCGUGAAUUCAUCUCCGGGGGUAGAGCACUGUUUCGGCUAGGGGGCCAUCCCGGCUUACCAACCCGAUGCAAACUGCGAAUACCGGAGAAUGUUAUCACGGGAGACACACGGCGGGUGCUAACGUCCGUCGUGAAGAGGGAAACAACCCAGACCGCCAGCUAAGGUCCCAAAGUCAUGGUUAAGUGGGAAACGAUGUGGGAAGGCCCAGACAGCCAGGAUGUUGGCUUAGAAGCAGCCAUCAUUUAAAGAAAGCGUAAUAGCUCACUGGUCGAGUCGGCCUGCGCGGAAGAUGUAACGGGGCUAAACCAUGCACCGAA